rnacentral:rRNA from 1 species
AUGAACGCUGGCGGCGUGCCUAAUCCCUGCCAGUCGAGCGAACAGACGAGGAGCUUGCUCCUCUGACGUUAGCGGCGGACGGGUGAGUAACACGUGGAUAACCUACCUAUAAGACUGGGAUAACUUCGGGAAACCGGAGCUAAUACCGGAUAAUAUAUUGAACCGCAUGGUUCAAUAGUGAAAGACGGUUUUGCUGUCACUUAUAGAUGGAUCCGCGCCGCAUUAGCUAGUUGGUAAGGUAACGGCUUACCAAGGCAACGAUGCGUAGCCGACCUGAGAGGGUGAUCGGCCACACUGGAACUGAGACACGGUCCAGACUCGUACGGGAGGCAGCAGUAGGGAAUCUUCCGCAAAGGGCGAAAGCCUGACGGAGCAACGCCGCGUGAGUGAUGAAGGUCUUCGGAUCGUAAAACUCUGUUAUUAGGGAAGAACAAAUGUGUAAGUAACUAUGCACGUCUUGACGGUACCUAAUCAGAAAGCCACGGCUAACUACGUG